rnacentral:rRNA from 1 species
GAAACGGCUGCUAUACCCAAUGUGCCGAGAGGUGAAAGCUUUAUUGCCUNAGGAUGAGCUCGCGUCUGAUUAGCUAGUUGGGGGGGUAAGAGCCCACCAAGGCGACGAUCCGUAGCUGGUCUGAGAGGAUGAUCAGCCACACUGGGACUGAGACACGGCCCAGACUCCUACGGGAGGCAGCAGUGGGGAAUUUUCCGCAAUGGGGGCAACCCUGACGGAGCAAGACCGCGUGGGGGAAGAAGGUUUGUGGAUUGUAAACCCCUUUUGAUUGGGAAGAAGACAAUGACGGUACCUAUCGAAUCAGCNUCGGCUAACUCCGUGCCAGCAGCCGCGGUAAUACGGAGGAUGCAAGCGUUAUCCGGAAUUAUUGGGCGUAAAGCGUCCGUAGGUGGU